rnacentral:rRNA from 1 species
UGCCAGCAGCCGCGGUAAUACGGAGGGGGCAAGCGUUGUUCGGAAUUACUGGGCGUAAAGGGCGUGUAGGCGGCGAUUUUAGUCAGGCGUGAAAGCCCGGGGCUCAACCUCGGAAUAGCGCUUGAUACUGGAUCGCUUGAGACCGGAAGAGGGUAGUGGAAUUCCCAGUGUAGAGGUGAAAUUCGUAGAUAUUGGGAAGAACACCAGUGGCGAAGGCGACUUCCUGGGCCAAUACUGACGCUGAGGUGCGAAAGUGUGGGUAGCGAACAGGAUUAGAUA